GUGCUCCCUUCCACAGCACACAUAUAAAACUGAAAUGAUGCAGAGAUUAGCAUGCCCCCCCACAAGGAUGACAUGCAAAUUCGUGAAGCGUUCGGCUUUAUU